rnacentral:rRNA from 1 species
CCUACGGGUGGCAGCAGUGGGGAAUAUUGGGCAAUGGGCGCAAGCCUGACCCAGCAACGCCGCGUGCAGGAAGCAGGCUUUCGGGUUGUACACUUCUUUUCUAAGGGACGAAGAAAGUGACGGUUACUUAGGAAUAAGCUCAGGCUAACUACGUGCCAGCAGCCGCGGUAAUACGUAGGGAGCGAGCGUUAUCCGGAUUUACUGGGUGUAAAGGGCGUGUAGGCGGGAUGGCAAGGCAGGCGUGAAAACUAUGGGCUCAACACAUAGCCUGCGUGUGAACAUGUCGUUCUUGAGUGAUGGAGAGGCAAGCGGAAUUCCGUGUGUAGCGGUGAAAUGCGUAGAUAUACGGAGGAACACCAGUGGCGAAGGCGGCUUGCUGGACAUUAACUGACGCUGAGGCGCGAAAGCGUGGGGAGCAAACAGGAUUAGAUACCCUAGUAGUC